AUGUUACCGUCUUGUUACAAAAUCAUAUUGCUUUUGCCAACUAAUUCUUAUGCAGCUAAGCAAAGGAUGGAAAUUAUAUGUGAGUACAGCAUAUACAUUUCAUCUGGUGGAGCCAACAUAGCAGUGGUUUCCACUUUUAUACUUGCACUUGUUUUAAAAUUAAUCAGAAGGGCAUUCGUUAGAAGAUGUGCUUGUCUUGAUUUCACUCUUUUCAUCCGAUGUGUUUCUGCAUGCCGAAACGUGGCAACUUUUUUGCAUCCGUCAAAAUUAGCAUGUCCCCAAAAGCCUCCUCAACCGUGGUGA
rnacentral:rRNA from 1 species